rnacentral:lncRNA from 1 species
AGUCCUAGAGAAGAGCCUCAAACUGAAGGAGGGAACUCAAGUGGGCAGCAGCCUCGUGAUGGAAGAAAUCGACGGGAUGAUAGUUCAAAUGCGCUUAAAGGAUAGCAAAACUGUAUUAAUUUCAAAGACGGAGUUGACCGAUGAGCAGUUCCAGAAGCUAAGAAAGCACUUCGAGACAGACCGUUGCCCUAAUGAGGAAACUCUGCAGGCCUUCGCUGAGGAACUCAAACUACGGAAAGACCUCAUCAGAUCCUGGUUCAUCACUCAGCGUCACAGAAUGAGGGGGUACAGACGGUUAUUUAUGCGCUACUACAGGGAUUGGAAAACGUCCCGUGAGUACUCUACAACAAGAAGUUUCGACAGGCAGAAGAACUCCAAGGAGUGCUCUCAGAAUGACCCUGGACUCCCCGAAGCAUUGGAAGCCUUGAAGAGGCUCAAGCUCUCUUCUGGGUACCAAAGCAGAGAUGGCAUGUCACAAGAUUUCUGACUUUUCAACUUCUUGGUGGGGGCAGGCGUCUGUCUAUGGGAGAAGGUACAUUAAUAAUAAAGCGUGCAUUCAUAGAGUCGAAAA